rnacentral:misc_RNA from 1 species
UUGAGUUUCCAGAGUUUCAUCGAUUCCGGUAGCAAGUACUUGUCUUCUUCUUGGGGCGGUAUUCAAUGGGAGAAACAAGUCCGGAAUCGAUGAAACUCUGGAAACUCAAGGGGCUUAUCCGUUCUCGUCACUGGAGCUGCUGGUUUCGUUGGUACCCAUGUGUCCUUAGCGCUCAAGAAACGCGGAGACGGAGUCGUUGGAUUCGAUAAUUUUAACAAUUAUUAUGAUCCGACGUUGAAGAGAGCCCGCAAAUCUCUCCUUAACAAAACGGCAUUAUCAUCGUCGAAGGUGAUGUCAAUGACGCGCGGCUCUUAGCCAAGCUGUUUGACGUGGUGGCUUUCACUCACGUGAUGCACUUGGCGGCUCAAGCCGGAGUCAGAUACGCCAUGGAGAAUCCUCACUCAUAUGUCCAUUCCAAUAUAGCUGGCUUGGUCACGCUUCUUGAGAUUUGCAAAUCGGCUAAUCCCCAGCCGGCUAUUGUUUGGGCAUCGUCUAGCUCAGUGUACGGCUUGAACGAAAAAGUUCCUUUCUCUGAAUAUGAUCAAACGGACCAACCGGCGAGUCUCUACGCGGCUAC